GCUCCGGUAGUGUAGUCCGGCCCAGCAUGAAGGACUCUCGAUCCUUCGACCCGGGUUCGAAUCCCGGCCGGAGCACCA
rnacentral:tRNA from 1 species